UCAGAAGACUGGCUUCUCCCUGAUGGUUCAUGGACUAAGGCAAAGAUGAGCAGAGCCAUGGCCCUCUUUUUUGUGCUCUGCUGGAUCCAAGAGUCUGGGUCUCCCUAUGUUCCCCAGGCUGGUCUCGAACUCCUGACCUCAAGUGAUCCUCCCACCUCGACCUCCCACAGCGCCGGGAUUACAGAUGUGAGCCACCGCACCUGGCCUGAAUUUUCCUCUAGUUCAAAAAGUCCUGAUGAAGGUUUGGCUAAAAUAUUUGAUGAAAUUCUGCUGCAAGUGUUUUCCAAGGCUCCGUAUGACCCAUCGUUUGAUGAAACAAGAACAGCAGUCAGACCCAUUACAAAGAGAAACACACAAAAAAACCAUGUGAAAAUGAGCUUAGCCCCUGGUGUUGUGUUGGAACUUCAGAUGCUUGCAGACACUUCAUGACUGCUCUGUGACACUCAGAACAGGCUAUUCCCAACCAAAGAGCUUGAACGAUGCUGUAUUUGCAUCAGGUUCAAAGGAACGAGAGGAACAUUUGGCUAAAAUAUUUGAUGAAAUUCUGCUGCAGGUGUUUCCCACGGUUCCAUAUGACCCGUCAUUUAGCGAAACAACAGCAGUCCGAUCCAUUACAAAGACAGACAUGAGAAAAGCAACCAGUGUUGCUUGGAAUUCUCCUGGACCAGAAUAUUUCCUUGGCAGUGUGGACAAAAUUCCCGAUAAAGAUCACCUUUCAGAGAAGAGGUUUAAAGAAUCCUCUCUGUUCGACAGGGAUUUAAGAGAGCAGUUAACUACUGGAGAUAAAGAAACACUUCAAGGGGCAGCUAAACCAGAUGCGCACUUUAGGACUCUGCCCUGCAGGCAGCUUCUGCAUUUCCUGCAGAGGAACACCAUCAUCGCCGCCAUCGCAGGGGUGGUCAUCCUCACGGCCACCGUGCUGUUGCUGCUUGGUUUGGCCUCAUACAUCAGGAAGAAACGGCCAUCAUCUCCUCCGGCAAACACGACAUAUAAUAUUUUCAUAAUGAAUGGAAAGACAUGGUGGCAAAAUUCUGAAGAAAAAAAUUUCACAAAAUAUACAAAAAAAGAGAAACAGUUGAAGAGCAGCUCCUGUGUCUAAGCCAGGUCGCGGGGCAGUCAAACCAGGACUUGAAACUACGAUGCGAGGACAUUUCUCCAUCCACACACCACAGGGAGGCAAUUCCAUUUCUGCCCGGGGAGGUGUAUUCUACAAAAACGUCUGCUUCCCGUCCCAAUUUGAAUGGACCAAGAAAAACUGCUUUGCCACAGGACACCUGUGGUAACAUGGCACCGAUGGCCGGCAUCGGCGAACCCAACAGACUAUGGACUUAUCAUUUAAUAAAGCAUUGAUUCAUUUAUUCAGUCA